rnacentral:rRNA from 1 species
GUAUAAGAGACAGCAGCAGCCGCGGUAAAACGGAGGGUGCAAGCGUUAUCCGGAUUUAUUGGGUUUAAAGGGUCCGUAGGCGGAUCUGUAAGUCAGUGGUGAAAUCUCACAGCUUAACUGUGAAACUGCCAUUGAUACUGCAGGUCUUGAGUAAAUUUGAAGUGGCUGGAAUAAGUAGUGUAGCGGUGAAAUGCAUAGAUAUUACUUAGAACACCAAUUGCGAAGGCAGGUCACUAAGAUUUAACUGACGCUGAUGGACGAAAGCGUGGGGAGCGAACAGGAUUAGAUACCCCAGUAGUCCCUGUCUCUUAUAC